rnacentral:rRNA from 1 species
UACGGAGGGUGCAAGCGUUGCUCGGAAUUAUUGGGCGUAAAGGGUAGGUAGGUGGUCUUAUUUGUCUAGGGUGAAAGCCUCGGGCUCAACCCGAGAAGUGCCUUAGAAACGGUAAGACUAGAGUCCUGGAGAGGGUCGUGGAAUUCCCGGUGUAGCGGUGAAAUGCGUAGAGAUCGGGAGGAACACCAGAGGCGAAGGCGGCGACCUGGACAGGAACUGACACUAAACUACGAAAGCGUGGGGAGCAAACAGGG